rnacentral:rRNA from 1 species
CCUACGGGGGGCAGCAGUGGGGAAUAUUGGGCAAUGGGCGCAAGCCUGACCCAGCAACGCCGCGUGAAGGAAGAAGGCCCUCGGGUUGUAAACUUCUUUUGUCAGGGACGAAACAAAUGACGGUACCUGACGAAUAAGCCACGGCUAACUACGUGCCAGCAGCCGCGGUAAUACGUAGGUGGCGAGCGUUAUCCGGAUUUACUGGGAGUAAAGGGCGUGUAGGCGGGAGAGCAAGUCAGCUGUGAAAUUCCAGGGCUCAACCCUGGAACUGCAUUUGAAACUGUUUUACUUGAGUGAUUGAGAGGCAGGCGGAAUUCCGUGUGUAGCGGUGAAAUGCGUAGAUAUACGGAGGAACACCAGUGGCGAAGGCGGCCUGCUGGACAUUAACUGACGCUGAGGCGCGAAAGCGUGGGGAGCAAACAGGAUUAGAUACCCGGGUAGUC